AUUGAACGCUGGCGGAAUGCUUUACACAUGCAAGUCGAACGGCAGCACGGACUUCGGUCUGGUGGCGAGUGGCGAACGGGUGAGUAAUGUAUCGGAACGUGCCCAGUCGUGGGGGAUAACGUAGUGAAAAUUACGCUAAUACCGCAUACGAUCUAUGGAUGAAAGCGGGGGAUCGCAAGACCUCGCGCGAUUGGAGCGGCCGAUAGCAGAUUAGGUAGUUGGUGGGGUAAAGGCCCACCAAGCCAACGAUCUGUAGCUUGUCUGAGAGGACGACCAGCCACACUGGAACUGAGACACGGUCCAGACUCCUACGGGAGGCAGCAGUGGUGAAUUUUGGACAAUGGGCGAAAGCCUGAUCCAGCCAUUCCGCGUGCAGGAUGAAGGCCCUCGGGUUGUAAACUGCUUUUGUACAGAACGAAAAGGUUUCUACUAAUACUAGGAGCUCAUGACGGUACUGUAAGAAUAAGCACCGGCUAACUACGUGCCAGCCGCCGCAGUAA
rnacentral:rRNA from 1 species